rnacentral:rRNA from 1 species
AGAAUCAACGCUGGCGGCGUGCCUCAGACAUGCAAGUCGAACGCGAAAGUCCCCCUUCGGGGGACAAGUAGAGUGGCGCACGGGUGAGUAACACGUAGGUAAUCUACCUUCGGAUGGGGAAUAACAAUCGGAAACGGUUGCUAAUACCGCAUAAUGCAGCGGCACCUAAUGGUGACAGUUGUUAAAGCGGGGGAUCGAAAGACCUCGCGUCUGAAGAGGAGCCUGCGGCGGAUUAGCUAGUUGGUAAGGUAAUGGCUUACCAAGGCGACGAUCC